CAUCCCUCGAGCUCUCCCCAAGCACCCUCCUCAUCCUCUGUGCUCUGUGGACAUCUACAGGCCUGGCCAGGAAUGACACAGGAGGCGUUUGCACGGUCCAGAGGCUGAUAAGAGCCGCUCGGUUGGGCUGCCGGUGUGUUUGUAGCAGCCUGGACGGGCUUUGACCUUCACUCCACGUCUUGAGGAGAAGCUGCUGAAAACGGUGGCAUUUGACACCUUCUGAGGACAAGGGGAGGUGGCACCUCCAGAGACCUGGCAAACGCCACUGGCUGCUUCUUUCUUUGCUUUCCUAUGAUUUGAGGAGCUUUUGGCUGCCAGCUGCGAACUUUCACCUACAUUUGCUGACCUUUUCCCUACUUGAGCUGCAAAGGGGCCUCCAGAGCCAGGGAAGGGAAGAUAAGGAAGCUACAACUCUUGGCAGGGGCUGCUGCUGGAUGAGAUAAGUUUAUCAGCCUGCCCAGAGACUGAGAAGGAACCCAAUUAGGGCUGAGAAGAUCCCAGAGCGGGAUCCCCAUUGGGCUGGAAGGUGUGUGAAGGGAGCGUGAGGAGCACGUGAAGAGCGCUGGAGGGUGUGUGGAGGCUGCAAGGGGGGGAUUGCCCAGGGGUCUCUGCUUUUGAGGUCCCUGUUUGGGGGUGCCCAUCUCCAGGGGUUCCUGCUGCUGUGCCACUCUGCCCUGUUGUGACUUUGAUUAGUGGGAUCUCAUGGUUCUGUUGGAACCACCCAGUGCAAAGGGACUUUGGGCCCUCGCAGUGAAGUCUCAAGGGGUGUGAAAGUGACUCCCCAAGUGGGAACCAGACAGAGCAAAUCACCUUCAUGCUUUUCGUGCCAAAGCAGGAGGAAUGUGAGGAAGUGUCUCACCCUGAGCCGUGCCCGUUGCAGCCGCUGGCCCGGCUCCCGCUCCCGGCGCCUGACGCUGCUCGAGGCAUUGGCCACCACCAGGAGGAAGCCAAAUCUAACCCUGAGCUCUGGGGAGGAAGUUCUGUCCUUGGCCUCAACACCUCACCAACAAAACCUGCUGGAAUUUGGCAGGAGACAUGCCAAGGAAAGCUGCUUGUGAACCUCCUUCAGAGCUGGAAGGCUUUGGUGUGCAGGUUAGAGGUUUGGCAGCUCCGGCGGCGGCUGUGUGCCCUCCCUGCCACACCGAGAGCUGCCAAGCCUGCCACCUCUGCUGGCCAGGCUGCUUUACAACCCUACAGUCACAGAAUGGUGAGGGCUGCAAGGGACCUCCAGGGACCAUCUAGUCCAGCCCCCUGCUAAAGCAGGUUCCCCUCGAUCAGGGGACACAGGAACGUGUCUGGGAGGGUUUGGGAACCUCCAGAGAACGGGUUUGGGACACCAAAAGCCACUGCUGAUGAAGAUUCAGGUUUGGCUACUACACCUCGUGCCCCAAGGCCUCGUUGCUUCUCUAACUAGGAGAAAUCAGAGAUGGGAUGUGGGAGGAACAGAUUGGUCCAGGCUUCUCACACCUUCCUGGUGCUGCCUGUAGUUGACAACCCCCUCCCAGGGCAGGUCAACUCCAGGUCUCAUCCAUUCUGGGAAUUCCUUUGCUGCAGCUGCCCAGAUUAGGCAUCUGGAUACAGAAGAGCCCAAAUUGGACUUGGUUUUGAAAGUGCUGGCCAGUGUUGCCAGUGUCUUUUUUAGCAGGUGACGUGUGAUAGGAAAUUCAAGGGCUCCAUCCCAAGUCUCGCUGACGUCAAUGGAAACGACACCAGUGGGACUUGGACCCACGCCCACCUUCCACUCUGCUGCUUCAGACUGCAAUCUGUCAGGGGUGGAAAGGUCUCUUUUUUCUCCUCACAGGCUUCAGCAGCAAGCCUUUGGAAGGUCUCUUGCUUCCCUCCUGCAGUCAUCGAGGAUGCAGAGGACAGUUUGGAGGAUGGAUGCACGUUCCUUUGCUGGCCCCUGGCCAGGCUGCAGCUCGGCUUCAAGCGUCUGCAUCACAUGUGAGGGAGGUGGUGGCCUUGGCUGUGACGUGCUGUGACUCUCCAGCUCUGCUCCAGCCACAGUCAGAGCUUCAGACCUCUCUGUGAGCUGCUUUGCCAAAGUCAGGGACGUCCAGGUGACGCUCUGGGUCAUAUGGUUUAGCGUGAGGUUGUCGUGUGAGGAGCAGGGAGCUGGACUCGAUGGUCCUCACAAGUCCAUUCCAGCAUGGAACGUUCUAAUUCUCACAGGCUUUGCAGUCUGUGGGUGGAUGAGGUGUGAGAGGUCUUGAAUCCACCUUUCACAAGCAGACUCGGGAAGCUCUGCUUUGCCUUUCAAUGGGAGCAGAGCCCUUGGAGGUCAUUCCAUUGCCCCUUUCUGAGUGGGACAUUUCUGAGCACGUUGGGAAGAGUGAAUGUGAGUAACAGCCCUCCUGCAAAGCUCAUGCAGGGUCACCUCCACCAGCUUCAUGUUGCUGGUGGGUCCUGGGGACUCUCCUGUCCCCACAUUGUGCUUGUGAAGGUUCCCAGGGGCUGGGGGGUGAGUGUGGCCUCGCUCACCUGCAAGGUGACCUGCAAGGGUCAUCCCCUGGUGAGACCUUCAUCUCUCCACUAGGAAACCCCUCCCUUCCACCUUUUCCCUUGUUGAUUGACUCUGUUGGCCAAAACAUGAAGGAUAAUGAUAUUUUGGGUCAUAAAGUCUGCCUGUGACGCUGUUUGUGGCAGCUGAGGAGUCGCCACCCUGGGAGUGGUUACCUUUUAUCACUGAACACAGGCAAUCCUGUUUGUGUAAGGACCUCCAGCACCACCCACCCUGAGGAUUUCAUCCCUUGGGGGAGGACCUGGAGUGGUCCUGCAAAGUGAUGGAGUGGAGCAGCAAGGCAGCCCUGGCUUCCUCUCCACAUUCACUUGCCUGUAUAUAUAGCCCACAGAAUGCUCCACAGUGAAGGCAGCAGUGGGUGGAAGCUGAGAUAUUCUUAUCUUCACCUGCUGCUGCCGACCAAAGGAAUAAAAAGAGACAGAUGACAGGAAAUGAGGGACUUCAAAAAUAGACACCUUUAAUGUCAAAAGGCUUCGGGGCUCAGCCAGAGCAGCCAGCAGAGGAACUCUCACGCUCCUCCCCACGUGCUGGGAGGGGGAAAUCUGCUGAGACAGCAAAAAAACCACCCCCAUUUCCCUGUUUACUCUUUGUACCUUCAGCAGAAACAAAACAGAGGGGAGAAAAAAACCCAACCAACCAACCAGAAAACCCACCAGAGAAACUGCAGAUGUCCUGGAACAUGAGCCCUGAAACCUCCCCUGAUGGCUCCACAGAUGCUCCGUGGCUGGAGGAGCUGCAGCUCUCUGCCCCUCUCAUGGAGUCAUUACAGAUGGAAAAGACCUUUAAGAUCACAAUCCUUUGCCACCACGAGGCUUUGUGAGGCUUUUACCAGCUCUGCAGGGCAGGAGUGACAACGGGGUUUUGUUCUGUGAACCCUCUUUAUUACAGACCCUUUGCACACAGAGAUAACUCUGGUGACCCAAA